AACAUCGCGCACCUGCGGGAACCUGCGGAAGGAUCAUUACAGAGUUGCAAAACUCCCUAAACCAUUGUGAACGUUACCCAAACCGUUGCUUCGGCGGGCGGCCCGGGUCCUUCCCGGCGCCCCUCGGCCCUCGCGGGCGCCCGCCGGAGGUAAACCAAACUAUUGCAUUGUAUGGCCUCUCUGAGUCUUCUGUACUGAAUAAGUCAAAACUUUCAGCAACGGAUCUCAGAUCGGAAGAGC
rnacentral:misc_RNA from 1 species